rnacentral:rRNA from 1 species
GCGCAAUGGGCGAAAGCCUGACGCAGCGACGCCGCGUGGGGGAUGACGGCCUUCGGGUUGUAAACCUCUUUCAGCAGGGACGAAAGUGACGUGUACCUGCAGAAGAAGCGCCGGCUAACUACGUGCCAGCAGCCGCGGUAAUACGUAGGGCGCAAGCGUUGUCCGGAAUUAUUGGGCGUAAAGAGCUCGUAG